CAGAGAGGGCAGCUGGGCUGGAGCUGCGGCCUUUGGCAGAGACAGCAACCAACUCAUGCUGACCCAGCAAGGAGAGAGCUGGGGAAAUAAGUACCUUCCUCUCCCUUUUUUUCCUUCCCCUCCCCACUGUGGUCUGCCACUGCCUCCCUUUGCCCCAACCCAGAUAGAAGCUCAAGAGCAAGGAGGCCCGUGGUGGAUGGAGAAUGGUGGCAUGUCUCCGCUACAAAGCUGUGAGCUCCUUGAAGCCAGGGACCAAGUCUGAUCCAUCUUUGUGUCCCCUGGGGCCCAGCUCAGGCUGACAUACCUCACACUGGCCAGACCACAUCAGACAUGUUAUCUUCAAUUCCAAGCAACACAGAUUAAGGGCACAUUAGCCAAUUGGAGCCUGUUGAGCUGAGGGCAGUGGUGUGGAGUCUGGAGCCCAUGUUCUAUGCAGAACAGAAGCAUCAGGAAAGUUUAACUUGAAGAAGAGACCACUCCUGGGAUAGAAUUCAUUCGCUGACUCAACAGGCCAUAUCUGGGUACCUUCUCUGUAUGAGGAGGCCCUGGGCUGGGUCUGAGGGGGCCACAGAUGAUGCAGCUACAGUCCCUACCUGGGGAGCUCACAGGAUGGGGUCAGGCAUAGAAACAAGUAACUACAAUGCAGUGUGGCCACUGCCACCUGAGGGGGAUGUAGGGUGUGGCCAGGGAAGACCCCUCAGAGGAGGCCUUGCAGGAACACAAAGUUAUGACAAUGUUGGGGGCAGGUUUGAGCUUAGGAUAAGGACUAACUUUCUAACUGGCAGAACUCUGCAAGAAUGGAAGCUGCCUGCUCCAUAUCUCGGGCUGGGUGAGCAGGGCCAGGAUGACCACUGCACAUACUGCAUAUUGAUGUCUGUCAAUGAAAGGACCAAUGUGGAGGCUAUAGGGAAUGCCUCGUAAGGGUCGUUAAGCCACUCCUUCCUUUUAUGUGUUAGGUACUAGAAUACAAAGACACGCCAACAGUGUCUGGCUUAGAAAAUCUCACAGUUUAGGAAAAUUGAAAAAAGGUAACACUAUGGCCUUGAACCAGUGUCUCUUGGACUGGAAUAAUGUAUGGACUGCUUUUAAAGGAAAAAAAUUACUGAGGUCCUCAGGGCUGACAACCUAACUAUGUUCAAAUUUAAACUCAGUAUGAACUCCAAGGCAACUGGAAAAGCAAAUCUUUUAUAUAGACAAUUUUCAUUCAAUACAAACUUUUAUUGAAUAUGAACAAAACUAAAAAACAAAUAAAAUUCUAGCAACAACACGAAUGUGACUGGUCAUGUUGAGUUCUUUUGCACUCAGCCUGCCAGUUCUGUAGAAGUAUUCCAGCUAGUAAGUGAAGAAAGAAUGAUAGAAUCAGAGUGUCACAUUUUGCAAACCCCUAAUAAAACAAUGGAUCUAGGGAAUGGUCAACACAAAAAAGAAAAAACAAGCAGAUAUCACCCGCCUCUUGAUGAAAGAACACACCACCACCUACGAAGCAGACUUGCCCAAAAAAUCACACUGGAAUCAGACCAAGUGUCAAUAUCUACCUUUCAAUCUUCAGGAAAUACAAGAGAAAAAGACAGAAAGGAUCGAGGGGCAACCAUAGGUGAAAAGACACUUAGACAUUUACAAGACAUAUGAACCCAAUGCAGCGUGUGGACAUUGUUUGAAUCCUGAUUUGAACAAACCAACUGUAAAAAAAUGAAAGAAAGAAAGAAACAAUUGGAGAGAUCUGAAUAUCGACUGAAUAUUUGUCAUUAUUGAAGAAGGUUUUUUAUGUGUCAUAAUGAUACUGUGGUUAUGUUUUUUUAAAGAGUCCUUAUCUUUUGGGAAUACAUACUGAAAUAUUUAUGGAUGACAUAAUAUGGUAUCUGUGGUUUGCUUCUCAAUAAUCCAGGGAGGAAGCGGGAAGUGGGCACCAGUUUAGAUAAACUAAGAUUGGCCAUGAGUUAAUGACUGUUUUAGCUGCAUGAUGGGUACGUGGGGGUUCAUUAUUGUAUGUUUAAAAGAUUUUAUGAUGAAAAAUUUUAAAAAUGAAAAAUCUAAGAUUCUAGAACAUUUAAAAUUCAGGCAUCUCCCCUGUACAUUGCUGAUGGGCGUAUAAAUUGGUAUAACUUUUAUGGAUGGCAAUAUGACAAUAUCUAUUAAAAUAAAAACGCACAUAUCUUUUGACUCAGAAAAUCACUUCUAGAAAUGCAACUUCUGUACUCACCAUGUUAGAUAUAAUACACAAACAUACACACAUUUACAUAUGGAUUCUCAUGGCAGCCUUGUUUGUAAAAGUAAAAGAUUACUAAUAACCUAAAUGGCCUCCAUAGGGCACUAGCUAAAUGA
ensembl:lncRNA